GAAAAAACGAUGAUCAGAUUAGUAAAUGACUGUAUUUGUUUAAGAGAGUUUCCGGUUGCUGCAAGGAAAUAACGAAUCUUCAUUGAACACGCCUGUCAGUUGUCUUUCUGAACAUAACUCAUGAAUUGCUUAACGGCUAUGAGUCAGUAGGAAAAAACGGUGAGCUCGUUAUCGCUCUUUAGUUAUCUAACUAACAGAGGUUUUUAUCGUGAGGUAAAAACAAAUCUGAGGUGGGACCACGUGAAAAUUUCUCGUCCUCUUG
rnacentral:ncRNA from 1 species